rnacentral:rRNA from 1 species
GACAGAGGAGGCGAGCGUUAUCCGGAGUUAUUGGGCGUAAAGGGUACGUAGGCGGCUGGUCAAGUCUGGGGUUAAAGACCACAGCUUAACUGUGGGGGGCCUUGGAAACUGACCGGCUGGGGUGGGGCAGGGGUUGCGGGAAUUCCCGGUGUAGCGGUGAAAUGCGUAGAUAUCGGGAAGAACACCUGAGGCGAAAGCGCGCAACGGGGCCCUAACUGACGCUGAGGUACGAAAGCUAGGGGAGCGAAUGGG